GAUGAACGCUGGCGGCGUGCCUAAUACAUGCAAGUCGAGCGAACAGACGAGGAGCUUGCUCCUUCGACGUUAGCGGCGGACGGGUGAGUAACACGUAGGUAACCUACCUAUAAGACUGGGAUAACUUCGGGAAACCGGAGCUAAUACCGGAUAAUAUUUCGAACCGCAUGGUUCGAUAGUGAAAGAUGGCUUUGCUAUCACUUAUAGAUGGACCUGCGCCGUAUUUGCUAGUUGGUAAGGUAACGGCUUACCAAGGCAACGAUACGUAGCCGACCUGAGAGGUUGAUCGGCCACACUGGAACUGAGACACGGUCCAGACUCCUACGGGAGGCAGCAGUAGGGAAUCUUCCGCAAUGGGCGAAAGCCUGACGGAGCAACGCCGCGUGAGUGAUGAAGGUCUUCGGAUCGUAAAACUCUGUUAUUAGGGAAGAACAAACGUGUAAGUAACUGUGCACGUCUUGACGGUACCUAAUCAGAAAGCCACGGCUAACUACGUG
rnacentral:rRNA from 1 species